CUUACUUUACAGACAGAUAUCAAUACGUCCAUUUAAAUGGGAAAUCGUCAAAUCUUAUGCAAGUAAAUUAUGGAUUACCUCAGGGAUCGGUUUUAGGACCCUUGCUUUUCACCAUAUACAUGCUGCCCCUCGGCAACAUUAUUAGAAAACAUGGAAUUAGCUUCCACUGUUAUGCAGAUGAUACUCAGCUAUAUAUCUCAUCAAGACCAGAUGAUUCCUUUAAGCUAUCCAAACUGGCAGAGUGCAUCGAGGACAUAAAACAUUGGAUGACUAGUAAUUUCCUCCUUUUAAACUCUAGCAAAAGAGAAAUAUUACUUAUAGCACCAAAAUCAAGUAAACAGAAUAUCUCCGAUUACAGCCUGCAAAUUGAAAGCUGCACUGUUACUCCAACAAAUACAGUUAAAGACCUAGGCGUUAUAUUAGACGGCAACCUGUCAUUUAAAAAUCACAUCUCAAAUAUCACAAAAACAGCCUUCUUCCACCUUAGAAAUGUUGCCAAAUUACGAAAUAGUUUGUGUGUUGCAGACGCAGAAAAGCUUAUUCAUGCAUUUGUGAUCUCAUGGCUUGACUAUUGUAAUGCUCUACUUAGUGGUUGUCCUGUAUCAUCGAUAAACAAACUACAGUUAGUUCAGAAUGCAGCUGCCAGAGUUCUUACUAGGUCAAGAAAAUACGAUCACAUAACCCCAGUUUUAUCAUCGCUGGCUACCCAUUAAGUUAUCAUAUGAUUUUAAAAUUCUUUUAACUACUUACAAAGCCCUGAACGGUUUAGCACCUACUUACUUAACCGAGCUUUUAUCACGUUACAACCCAUCACGCUCUCUAAGAUCUCAAAAUUUAGGACUUUUGAUAACACCUAGAAUAACUAAAUCCACCAAAGGGGGUCGAGCUUUCUCAUACGUAGCACCUAAACUCUGGAAUAGCCUUCCUGAUACUAUUCGAGGGUCAGACACACUCUCCCAAUUUAAAUCUAGAUUAAAGACACAUCUUUUCAGCCAAGCCUUCACUUAAUGCAUAAUUAAUGAACAGCAGCUACGCUAAUCAUUCUCAUUUUUUCUUGCCGCCUCUGCCUCGGGAUGCCCAUCCCGAGGUAGGAAGAAGUUCCACCAUGUCCAGACGACCGACAGAUGCCCAUCCCCAAUUUGAGAUUACGCCAGCUACAGCUGCAGACUGACUGACCAUCCCAGCUCCAUCUAAGGCAAUUCCACCACCAGCCAAGAGAAAUAUGACCAUCGGACCAUCCAAGCUCAGACCACUACAUCCCCAACCAAGAGCAAAGACGGACUAUUUGUCUUAUUAAUGCUGAAGUUACAAUAUUUGUAUUUCUUUCUUCCAAAACGAAGUACUCUCUACACUCCAGAUCAAUUGGUGACGGUAAUGUACCUUUUCGUGGGUUUGCCAAACCGCCAUAAAAACACUAGAAGAAGAUCAUAACCGUUAUCUGCUAAUCCCGGACAAAGUAGGCCUACACAGUUGCAACAGUGCUUUGCCUCUUGCAUCAAGACAUCCACUGUAUGGAUUGCUGGACAUGUUUAAGGAAAGGAUCUCUGCAAGAGACAACACACACGAUGUUGACUACAUCCUCAGCCACGUUUCUCCUGAAAUUACUGCAAGAGAGAAUUCAACUGCUUUGGUAAAGCGGAA